GCUAGCUGCUAGGAGGAUGUCAUGUCAUUGGAGGAGUGGAUAAGAUGUACAAUCAGAAACAGAUCAGCAUGCUUGAAGCCAUAAUCAAAGAAUGAGAACACAUCAAUGCUUUCCAUCGACCCACGGUAGGCUACCAACAUUCUACAUUCUAUUAGAGACUAAUAUUAAUCACACCCAAUGAAAAUAAUAAAUAUACAAUGCUUGAUUUCUACACUUGAGGCCUAUGCAGGUCUGGCCAAAGACAUGACGUAGUGUGAGAUGGUGUGUUCCAGUUACUAUCAUCUUUCCUGUUGUAACAAUUGUGGAUUAGGGGAUGUGCAAUGUUGAUUCUUUAAGAUGAGUUCAAGGAUCUUUCUGAUGAGUUCUAAGUGUUCCAUCUUCACAGGUCAGGGACAGUCAAUGUGGAGAUGUGGGGUCAAAGCGGUCUGAAUGGAACAUCAACAGGAUCAGGAGUUCCCAAACACCAAGCGCAGCAUCACGUCUGGGUUGACUUGCUAACUAACGCUUUCAUUAUUAUUAUCCAUUCCUUUAGAGUGCCAAUGUCUCUCAGGUCACCACUGCUAGGACUCAGCACUCCCAUGUUUCUAAGACAGGCGAACUGCAGGAAAGCCUAAGUCAGCUCAGAGCUAAUACUAGUCUAGACCGCAUUGAUCUCAGGAAGCACAGGAAAUCAGUCAAUCUGAGGAAUGGUGGUUUGAAGCCUUAGAAACCUGUUGGCCCACAGAGACCAAGUCUUUUCCAGUGUACUGGCAUAACUCCAGGUGAAGUCACAUAGUUCCUGUUAUUUCAUUUAAAACUGAGCCUUCUUCAGACUUUGUACUGCAACCAUUGACAAAAUGUAUGAAAUUAAGUUGUUCAAGACUGCUUAACCUUUUGAUGUGAUGAUAAAAGCACCUCGCCUCCUCAGCCCCCACUAGGAAUGUGCAAGAGAAAUACCACCAGGGCGACAACACAUCUCCAGAAUUCAGGCGCUUCUAUGAGGUGAUUCUCGAGGAGCCACAGAGGAGACGUCAAGACAGGCAAAGGCAAGCACCGACAGCCCAUUAACAACUCAGUCACAGGUAGUUUGGCUCGCAAGAUUCGCAAAUGUUGUAAUACCUACUUUGAUAUAAACAUGACAUCAUGGUUGCCCUCCAGAUGUGCCCACACGUCAGGAAUGUGUGGAUAUUACAGGGAUGUUGAACACCUAGAGACAGCUACAUCACGUUGCUGCCUGGAGGUCCCUUGCUGCUCCCCAGACACCCUGCAGCUCCAACUAGAGGUCCUGAGUCUGCAAGGGGAGUGGGGCCAACUGGGUGGGGGUAAGAGGUGUGGCUCACUACCUACAAGACGCACAGUAAAGAAGAGUUGCUUCAAGAGUAUGGUGUCAAAUGACUCCCAUGAGGAUGCAGGGUGUGUGAGUAGCAGGAGCUUAGAGGACACAACUACAGACAGUUCAAAGGACACAACAGACUCUUUCUUCAUUGCCAAGUGGGAUCCAGCCCAUCUUAAAGUCACCUUCACACGUAAAGACACAAAUGGGCAGCCGAGAAAGAGUGUCCUCCAUCCUCUUCUUGAAAGCAGCAAGAUUAGAGUCCAUCUUCUAUUCUUCAUAGUGAUGUCACUCUACUGUGGGAGGUCUGAGGUUAAAUAAAAAGGUCUGUCUGCUGUUGUUUCAACAUCAUGUAUGUUUGAUCAUUUAAUUCCAGUACUAGUCAUAUUGCUUCCCUUGACAACUUCCAUUUUUGAAAAUACUUUUGGACUUAAUUUCUAAAUAAUUAUUUUAUUUACAGCUUGCUUCACCACUGACACAAACCAAACAACAGUAGGCCUUCAUACAUUGACAUUCAGACUAGAUAGAUAGCUGCACUACAUAUUAAAACAUACUUUGAACAAUAAUUAAGCAAGACUACAUAUUCAUAAAAGUAAUAAUUGCCACUGAAAAACAUUGGCCACUGAACUACAUUUGUAAAGCUGGAAGACCGCUUAAAAAUAGACAGCUUAAAAAAAACAAGCACUGUGGCCCGUUUGGUCCAGCGGUUACUACCGCUGACCCCGGCAUACAUGUAUACAAAUCUGACCCCCCCCACCCACCCCCGUCUUUCAAACACUUUACCUCUUCAAUAAAGCAACAGAAAUUACAAAAGGAGUGGGACUGCCCCACAAAAAAUACCUUAAAAAAAAUAAACAAGCAUUAGAAAACAAUCUAAACCUUGACCAUAGAGGAAAUGGCAUUUUGUAAUGUUCAUUAUGCAGUCUUUUUUUGUGGUUUCAUGAGCCGACCUCAAUUCUAUAUGAAAUAUCAGCAUCCUUUUUUCAGACCACUGGGUUUCUUUCUUUCGAUGCUUCCUACCUCCUCUUC